CUAACUACUUUGGAGUAGUGUUGCUGUGCUGUGUCACUAUCUUGUAUACUACUAAACGUAAGUAAAAAUAAUGUUCAGGAACAUGUGUAAUAUGAAGGUACUAGUGGUUAGAUCAGACUUUUUUCCUGUUAGCCGUCUUUGCCAAGACCCUAUAAAUCUUUGCAGUUGUAGAGACAGCCUAAAAAAGCUGCUAACGUUUUCAACUACAGAGCAUAACACUGAAUAAGGAUAGCUGAAAAUUUUCUGUCAAAACUGUGUUUAAUGGAAAGUGGAGUUUUGAUAAAAUAGCAUUUUCACCAAAAAUAUCUGCUUUCCAUGGAGAAUGUUCGUUCUUCAGUAUAAUAUUUUGACAGAAAAUUUAAAAUCUUGGGCUGAAAUACGUACAGCUGUUCAAGUCCGUCUAGUGCCAUUCAUAUUUCUUCACCUCUUCAGAUCUGAGGUAUUUUGCCAACUCUGGUUUUUAACAUUGUGACACUUGGGAUUUUUCUUCAUGCCCAUCUCUGCAGUUGUGACACAGGUCCUUCAGCUUUCCCUCUCAAAACACUGAGUUCCUAUGGCUUCUGAGGUUAGAGAAGAAAACGCUUGAAAAUGCAAGCACACCAGGAACUGGAAAUCAGAGGAAGCAAAUGAAAAAUUCAUUCUCUUGUUUCAAAUAACUCCCAAGAUCUUUAAGAUACUUAAAUUAUUUUUUUCAAAAGCAUUUCACAGCCUGACUAAAGAUUUUGAAUAACUUGAAGUUGGCGAUGCUUUCCCACAUGAAUUAGUUGAGACAGUGCCGGACUGGGGCUGCAGGAGCUUUGAUCUGUCAGGGUUGGCUGUGGAUUUAUCCGGUGACGCCUGGCACAGCAUUUUCUCCGCUCCGUGUUCUGUUCAGUCAGCAGUUUAAAAUCCCUCUAAGGCUGUUGUUGUCAUUGUUCCAGGCCCUGGUUCACCUGUUCUGAUGGUGGUAUUAGUUUUAGGUCAUUUAACACAUGUUGCUCUCUAUGAUGACUAAAUUAAAUCAAGAUAAGAGCGGCUGUACCGGGUCAGGCAGAAGGUUUGUCUCGCCUAAUGUCCUGCCUCAGGGAACUGCCAACGUGGUGUCGCCUGGGAAAGAGGAUGAGAACAGCCCGGACGCGUAGUGCUGCUUGCUCCCAGUUUCUUGAGCCAAAAGUGCUGCUUUUUAAUGCAUUUCUUGAUGCUAUUUAUUUUUUUUUCUGUUGCUUUUUGAAUUUUAGCAUCCACAGUGUGCUGUGGCAGGGAGUUUCAGUUUACUUAACUGUUUUCUGCUUAGAAAUUGUUCUGUUCUUUACCUAUGCUUUUUCUGUACCUCUUCCAGUUUUGCUGUUUUCUUUAUUUUUUUAAUGGGGAGCUGGAGAGAGGACAGUACUGAUUCAGAAGUUGGGCACACUAAUACAUUUACACAGUGCUUUGUUUUCCUUUAUCAGUGAUUCCUUGCAUGCCGUCUGCAUUUCUGAACGUUGCUGAUGGUUUUUACGAUGAUAAUUUAAUGGAACUUUUUUUGUUGUUACCAACCUAAGAUGUAGCUGCAUGGCAGCCAGAGUUGGUUUGUCUCUGUGUGUUAAAAUGACAUGUUUGUUGUACUGAUCAAAAGAGACAAAGAAGGUGAAAGAGGUGAAAAGGAGGAAAAGAGAAGCCUCAGAGAGCUGUGGGCAGGAAGCAUUGCUGUGGUUGUGCUUUCACUAGCAGAGGCACUUGACAUUCUUUAUCAUAGUUCGUAUUAAUUCAUGCUUUAAGAUCUCUUUUAAAUUCCAGAGUUAAAAUCCUCUGCCAGUGGUGUUUGCAUUUCAUCUACAAGCUGUCUUUCUUAAGUACUGUGGUUGUCAUUGUUCAUUCCAGAAUAAUAGUACAUAGAAUGAGGGUGUCAAAUAGCUGUCUGAUGAACAUACAGCUUUCUGGCAAGUGAGAAAUGUGCUUGUUCCAAACUGGACCAAAAAUCCCUUUUCGGCACUAUUGUUACUGUAAUGUUCAUUUCUGCCAUAAUGAAGCCUUUCUUUUUUUAUUUUGCUUUGGGUUCUUUGUUCAGCAGAUAAUGUCCAAGUAGCAAAACGUUAUUCUAGUAAGCAUCUGGAAAUCUUAGACUGUGUCCAUCCUAGUAAAAUCAGGGAUGCCUGGGAAUGUUCCCAGGAAUGUUCUUCAACUGUGGAAUCCGAUACGAUGCUACUGAAGCGAUGGAAUGUUUCUUGGCAGAACUUUGGCCCGUGCCAGCUGAUGUUGUUCUGAACUGUUCCCAGGUAGGAUUUGGAGUGGGAAACCGUUCCCAACAAGCAGCUUAUCUGCAGGCACCCUGUGUUAGAGUUCUCUGAUACGGACAGGAGCCAUUCUCUGUCAGCUGCCCUCAAUGUUUGGGAGCAUUCCCACGCACGUUUAAUUUAUUAGUGUGAGUAUCUGUAAUACUAAGUUAAAAUCUGGCUGCCCCCCUCACCCCCACCCCUUUUUUGUGUCAUCUCUGUAAAGGACGUGCUAGUACCACUGAACAUAUUCCAGGAAGUUGUUUACAUGAUGUUUAUUUUAAAUCAGGCUCCAGCGGGUGUCACUGUAGUUGAUUCCAUGCUCAGUAAUUUCCUUUGAUCAGACAGAAUACAUCGUUUAAAAAUGGUGUUUAUGGGCAUGAACUUCAUGCAGCAGUGUGUGUGAAUAUGUAAUAAACUUCUGAACAGUUUUCAUUCUGUUGUAUUGGUUAUAAAGAAGGAUCUGAGAUGUACUUUAGAACAGCUUUUGUAUGUAUGUAGUAGGAAGUUCCCACCCCAAAAUAGUAUGGUUUAAAGAGGUAAUCCAACUAAAGAAACACUUCAGAUUCAUUCCUGUCUAUUUGAGGGUCCAGGAAUAGUGGCUAAUGUAAAAUUCAGGCACUUCUGACGUAGACCAUGGGCAUCAAAUAAUUCAAAACUCAAUUGAUUUGUCAAUAGGGCGCAGAAACGAGUGCUUCCUUCUUUGGGUUCCAGGAUGGGAAUGUUGGCUCCGUGUUACUUUCUCUUAAACAGUUGACAAAGAAGGGGUUGUAGAUGGGCCUGAGUGAUUCUGGUGAGCGUGUCUGAGCAUUUAAGGUGUGCAGUGCCUCAGUAAUAGGGCAGAGCUGCAAAGUGAAACGUGUAAUGGAGACAUGGAAGACACAAAUGCGCUCACAAUGGGAGCUGCACGCUUGCAGGAGAUUUUCCUCCCUGAUUGCAAGCAGCUUCACAGCUCCUUUAAAACAAGGCAUUGAGCAGGUGCCAGUUUACUGGUUUCCAUGGGGACUGUUACUCUCAUGUGCAGUACUGUGGCCUCAGUGAUCAGUUGAGGACUAGGACAAAUGAAGUUGAUGAAGAGUUGGGUCUGGCCUUGUGCUGAGACCUGCAAAGCCUCUUCUCCGCUGGCGGACAAGAGUUCUCGCCCUUGGCGUGGCUCAGCUGAUGCUUUGUAUGAAGUCACCCAGCCACUAACAGCUUCUGGUCAUAGAGAGGGUGUUGUCCUCACCUGAGCUCUCAGAGGACUUUCCUGCUGAGUCACGGGCAGAGGGAGGGGCAUUAGCAGUUUUAAAAUUCAGAGCCCAUGAGUAUCAAUGCAGCUCCUCCUAGUUGCUUCAGUGGGCUCCAAGUCAGCCCCCAGAACAGGGCGUCAAGCACCCACGCUUCCACAACAAAAUCACAGAGCUCGUGCAAGAAAAUUUCCCGGAUUUAUUUGAAACCAAAUCUUUGCAUUGUUUGAGAUGAAAUACUUAUCAAGGUUUAGAAGCCUUCCUGGUAAAUUUUACCCGUGUGUUGGGGAAUUCCCUGCAGGGGGUGGUAAAUGUUGAGGAAAGAGCUGUAAUGUAAUUGUGAAAGCAUGAGAAACCAUAGAAGGUUUUUCAAAUGAAUUUUCAGCUUCGUUCACAGCUUGGCUGAAGAGCAGCUGUGGGAAACAAACCCCCUGCGAACUGAAACCACUGAGUCUAGCUCCGAGUCACAAUUCUUCUGUUGAGCAGGGAAUUUAAGCAUUUCGGUGUGGGGGGAAAUGAAACUGGCCCAUGCUCAAUGUCGCUAGGUGAGAACUCAGCCUUGCUGCAGGGUUUGGACUUCAUUACAGACAAGUGUUUGAGAGACAGGAAGAAGAAACAGUUAUUUUAAAUUUCCUCUUGCCCUGAGACAUCUGAGAAGGGAAAUAUUCUUUAACAUUUCAGAACUAAUCAUCAAUGACUUAAUUUAGAGAGACCUUGAGUAUUAUUUUUGAAAGCGUUGGGUCCCUGAAGCUGCCACUGAGUCAGCUGGAGAGAGCUGUGGGUGUUCAGCACAUGCCACCUAUGAACCCACCUUCCCUCCACGGGACGUGAGCGCAGAACGGAGGAGGCGAAUGAACUACACAGGUGUCUGCUGCAUGCACUGGUAAUCUAGAGCUACGACAGACAGACACCGACCCAGCAGCCCCAGAGGGAACCUGCUGAGGAAGCGGAGCCCAGGCUCAGCCCUCACCUCUCCCACACCUCUGCUCUGUAACCACGAUGCCCAGCGCAUCCUCCAGACAGCAAAGGUUCCUCUUAGUUAAAAACACAACUCAUAAAACAAGACAGCUACCAGGGAGAGUCAACAGCCUGUACGAAACACCUCUUCUCCCUUUUAACUUCUUAAAGGAAACUAAAGAGUGGAUGAAGUGGGAAGAUGCGCCCUUACAGUUCCGACGCCCGUGGGCUGGAGUGCAAGGGACGCAGCACGGGCCGAGCAGAAAAAAAAGGCAGAAUUCAUGGAUGGCAGAGGGUGAACGCAUCAUGUGCACAGGAGAAGCUGUGGCAGUGAAUCGCGAUCCUUCCUGAGACGCACGAAAGAAACAGUGCCACGUGCUGCAGGUUUAAAAAAAAAAGUGUCAGCAUUGCCUAUAUAAGAUGCUGAGAGGAAAAAUGAGCUGGAAGGCACAAGUGCAGCCCCAGAUCAACUUUUCACUGAGCUUGAGUGUAUCAGAGAAAUCCUGACCAACAGUUCGGAAUAGAAGUAGGUGAAUACUGAAAUUCAUGGUGAGACGGUGCAACAAAGAUGAGUUUUCCAGAGAACUGAAAGCUGACGCGAAGAUUUC